UACUUCGCUCACCGUUUUUUCUCCUCCUCACAUCUCUUAACUUCCCUCUUCUCUUUGGGAGAACCCUUCUCUCUCUCAAGUGGUACUCAGAAUUUUUCAAAUAUCUUGUUGUUCUUAUUUUGGUCUAUAUUCAGAUUCUGUUUGAGUCCACAUAUGUCCCGUGUUAAAGUGACGACUUUCUGGAUAUCUUGAGCGUUUCCGAAUAUUUUCUGGAUUUGGGUAGUCAUUAAGUUGACGAUCACGAAGAAAUAAAGCGUACCCAUGUGAGAUUUGGUGUUUUUUUCUCAUUUGGGUGUGCUUAAUUAGGUCGAUAUCUCGUGGAAUCAGUCAAGUUCGAUGAACUGAUGUUAGUGUUAUGCUGGUCUUUGGGUUGUCUAUUGCAAUGGAUUGAAGGUGUGAUAUAUUCGUGGAAUGAGCGUAACAAGAUGAGCUAGGUGUUUAAAAAUGGAUACAAAGGAAGAUGCCGAAGUGCAAGAUGAGCUGCCUUCAUCACCGAUGUUGGUAUUGCAGAGUAUUUCCGAGGAGGCUUUUAGAGUGGCAGGUGAACCGCUGCAUAAUGUGUACUCAGGUAAUUCGAGCUUCCCACCACCUGUUCUGGGGCAGGGAUACCGACGCAGUCAAAGUGAAAAUGUGACUACAGCUCCCAGAUGUAAUAAUAGCUUUCAGAGAUUGAAGAGCCAUAUGCAGAAGGCUUGGAAAUGGGGUAGCAAUGCUCGUGGAGAAGAUUGCAAGCGCAGUUUCAAUCCUGAAAUCUUGGCGGACCAAAAACGCCAGUGGUAUCAGUUUCACACAAAAUCUCCGGACCAUAAAAAAUAUAAGGAGCCUAUGUCAUUAUUUGAAAACUUCAUUAUUGCGGGGCUUCAUCCAGAUGCUAAUCUUGAGGUUGUGGAGGAUGCAUUUGCUAAAAAGAAGAAAUGGGAGUCAGAACUGGCAAAAUCUGAAAUAUUAGAUUUUAAAAUGCUGCAGCAUCAGGGGCCUUCAAUUCCAACGUUGGAACCUCAGGUACUUUUCAAGUAUCCUCCUGGAAAGAAUCCAGCAUUGCAUCUGAAGGAUCUAGCUGCCUUCUGUUUUCCUGGAGGGGUUAAGGCACGUUUGAUAGAGAGGACUCCAUCACUAAGUGAGCUAAAUGAACUUGUUUAUGGACAGGAGCAUUUAAACAGAGAUGAUUUAGCGUUUAUUUUUUCACUUAAGGUGGCAAACAAUGCAACGCUCUAUGGUGUUUGUUUACAUGUUCCUGAAAUUGUUCAGAGGCCACCUGGUAUCUUAGGCUUCUCAUCACCUCUUUCUCAUCCAUCUGGAGGAUGCAGGCGUUUUUUGGUUUCUGCUCCUCGUUGCUAUUGCGUGCUUACAAGAGUUCCUUUCUUUGAGUUACAUUAUGAGAUGUUGAACAGUAUCAUUGCACAGGAGCGACUGAAUCGAAUAACAAAGUUUGUUAGUGAACUGACUCUUGCUGAUUAUGUUCCUUCGAUAACCAAAUUAAAUGAUAAAAUGAAUGGGAAUGAUGAUUCCCCUGAGAGGGAGUCCUUUAGUGAUUGGAUGGCUUCUGCCAUUCCUGUUGACAGUGCACUGGCCCUCACCGCUGCUGCUGCAGGAAUUAUACCUGAUGAUGAGAUCCCACCCUCUUCUUUGAAAAUGUGGGAACUUCAUUCCCCUGAAAGUUUUACCAUCAGUGAGGCUUCAGAUUCUAGCCAAGUUAGGGAAAUGGACAAAGAUGGUAUUAAGAAUUCACAGUAUCUUUAUGAGUGUGCUUUGGAGGCCUCGGAAACUCAUUCAGAACCUUUGGAAAGAACGUUUGGAUACUAUGAAAAUGGUCAAACUUCUCCGGAGGUAGAGACAUCAUUCUCCUGUAGGAAUCCUGCACUGGAGCGUCUUGGGAGUUCUGAAUCCUUGUUCAGUCCAGUUAGAAGCAUCACAUCAGAGAAUAAUGAUGAUGAAACUUUUGCGAAUGGUGAUAAAGAUUUUGGGGAUGACUUAAUAAUGGAAUGGGCCAAGGAGAAUAAGAACGAUUUGCUACAGAUAGUUUGUGGAUAUCACACUCUUCCUCUUCCUGCACGAGGAAGUGAAUUAGUUUUCCAGCCUCUUGAGCAUUUACAGGCCAUCGAGUAUCGGCGACCUCCAGUUGCUGCCCUUGGCUUACAUGAAAACAAUUUAGUUUCACUUGAAGCUCCUGAGGUUGAUGCAAAGUUGGCAACUGCCGAGGAAGUUCUUGCACUAUCAAUAUGGACAACUGCAACUAUUUGUCGAGUGCUCUCCCUUGAAAGUGUUUUGGCAUUGAUUGCAGGAGUAUUAUUGGAGAAACAAGUGGUAAUUGUGAGCCCAAAUCUGGGUGUUCUAUCAGCUAUAGUGUUGUCUCUUAUUCCCAUGAUUUGGCCAUUUCAGUGGCAGAGUUUAUUGCUUCCUGUUCUACCAGGAAGGAUGCUUGAAUUUCUUGAUGCUCCAGUUCCUUAUAUUGUUGGCAUACAACAUAAACCUGAUGAUUUGAAGAUGACAACAUCAAAUCUUGUUCAUGUUAAUGUGCUCAAGGACCAGGUGAAAAUGUGUCAUUUGCCCACACUUCCCCGGCAUAAGGAGCUUGUUUCUGAACUGGGGCCAAUCCAUGCCAGACUUUCACAUGAAAGUGCAAUUGCUACAAGGCAUCCUGUAUAUAAGUGCAAUGAAGUGCAGGCUGAAGCUGCAGCUGAGUUUUUGAAUGUCAUGAGGCACUAUAUGGAGUCACUUUGCUCGGAUCUGAGGUCUUAUACAAUAACUAGCGUACAAUCAAACAAUGACAGGGUUUCUUUACUUCUUAAAGACAGCUUUAUUGAUUCCUUUCCUAGUAGGGACAGACCAUUUAUCAAGCUAUUUGUAGACACACAAUUGUUUACUGUCCUAUCGGACUCUCAUUUGUCCAGCUUUGAGAGUGGGUACCUUUAGCUUAAUCUUGUGAGGUUUGCAAUGAAUCCAUCGGUUAAAUCCAUAGGUGCAAAUGAAGGUUCUAUCAGUCCUCAUGACUAAUUGAAGGAUAAUUUUUCUCUUACUGUUUAAGAUGAACCCACGACAAGUUUUGGAGCCAUUGACUGUGAACUGCCAUAUUCUUGAAGCUUGUAAGGAUGACUUGUAGCAUAAAUGGUGAAAGUAUAGUUUCUAAUACCAUACAUCAUUGUCCGUUGUACUGCCUAGCAAGAAAGGAUCAUAAUCCUGAUCUUUAUGAUGUAUCUUAUCUAGUGCUUACUAUAGGUUUGCCUUGCACCAAAUCUCUGUAAAUAACAUAAUAAAACAAUCUAUGAAGAGAUAGUUUACCUGAUACAACCAUCUUUGGUUUAUUUCUGAGAAGAUUUCAAUUUAUGUGGAAAAUGAUGCUGCUUCUCUCUCUCUCUCUCUCUCUCUCUCUCUCUCUCUCUCUCUCCCUCUCCCUCCCUCUCUUGAAUGGAUUCAAGAUGAAGUUCAUGUAACUGAUUUGAAAAGUCUUUUACCUUAUAUUCAUAUAUAUGGCUUCAGCACGUUCUCACACACUUGCGUGCACAGCUUCACCAUGAUCUCAUUUUACCAGUGCAUUUGUUUUUGUAUCGUCUAUUAUUACUGACAUAUGUGUGCGCAGGCCAAGGUCUAAUGCCAAGUUAUGAGGCAGCUUUGAAAGAUGCUAGGUUUGACACCUAAACACUGAAAUCUGAGAGCUGCUCUUCAAUAUAGAUCUACCUCUAAUUUUGGCUUUCAAAAUCGUGUCGUAGGGAUAAAAUUUUUAUAAGCUAUACGUUUGCAAGUUGCUGAAUCUCAAAUCUUGAAAUCUAAGCUGCAAUAUUAGCUGAGAUCACAAGGAAAAGCUACUUUACAUUGUGACUGUUUCUAUCAGAGUUUGGCUUUAGUGUAGCUUCUCUUGGAUCUUCCUCCAUUCAUGUCUCACCCCCUUGCUGCAAUGGAACUCAAAUAGGUUUCUAACAAUAGCCAACUCUUUCGCAGUUUCGCCAAAGCCUGGUCUGGCCUGUGGGAUUUGUUUGGAUCCUUUAAUUCUUUCUCUUGCUGACACUUUUGACUUGGCUGAUCUCUUAAUAAAGGUGAAGCAGGAGGGUUGAGAAUAACAGGUUUUGCCUGAAUAUCAUUAACAGAUUUUUACCUUGGUGCGCGAGAUACAAACACUAUACAAGAGCCCCCACUUUCGCCGAGGGUUGGGUCAUAUAAUACUUGAGUUCCUACUUGGCUUUUGUCCCCAGCUGUUGUAAAUAUCUUCAGCAGCAAAGAAAAGCAUGCAUGUAAUCAAUAAGUUUUCUCACUUCAUACUUCACAACUUACACAAAGUAGCUUGGAAUCAGAAGUUUUAUUACUUUAAGAGACCAUUAAGACUGAUCUGCUACCAUUCUAUUGUUAUACUUCAUGCAAGAACCAAGAUGAUUGAACAAUGAUUUUCAGAUCCUAUAAAAGCGUGUUAUCUCAUGUUUUACCUGAUUUGGCUUUGCUUUGGGUGCCAAGCACACUGCACAACACUACAAGCCGGGGAUAUUAAUCAGAGUAGAAGUCGAGAUAACAUCUUGUCGGCAUAGGAGUUGUUGAGGAAUUACCACAGGAAUACAGGCACUCCCCGCAUUCCCUUCUCUCCCCGGUAUCGUCCCGCACAGAAAGAAAGAGAGCAUAGCCCCGGCCAGACCUGUGUCUCCCAUAUUUCUGUUAGGGUUCCAUCGUGAGCUGAGGGAAGAGACAGGAAUUGAAGUGAAGUGUUUUUUGCGGGAUCUGUCGAAGUGAAAAAGAAGAAGAUUGAAGUAGUUUGAAGAAAGCCGAAACAACGUCGUGGAGGCCAGGGACUUGAGUGGACCAAGACGCACCGUUUUGGCUGGGUGUUUGUGAGAUGAGAAUUUUAUGUUUAAAAUAUUAUGUUUUAGUAUUAUUAUUGCAUUGAGAUUUGAAAAAAUUGAA